CGCGGACUGCGGAUUCACGGUCCUCUACUAGAGACCAUCAGGGAACCUCGUGCGCGUCGUCCUCCCAUUGAAUUGAGCUAGUUUCGUGUAACCAGACCGCGCAUGCUCUAGUAGUCGUCGACCGUGCAUGCUUUCGAAUCGACGUGCAUGUGGUUGACGCGUGGGAGCUCCUGAAGAUCAAUUUCUUACUUCGCACGCUUGCUUCGCUGCUGUACUCUAAGUCUCUCGGCAUGGCAAGAGCAGACGGUGCAUGUGAUUGCAAGCCAGGUGGUAUUUGUGAAUUGUAGACGUGCAUGGCCCAGUAUUGUUGUUAGUUGCUCUUUGCAGUAGUCGAGUCGUUGGUUUUGUACACUUAAAGCAGCUGUUUGUGGUUAUCUAGGCAUCAGGCCAGUGGCAUGUCUGGUAGCGAUCGAACAGCAGUCCAGUCACGGUUUGCUUGGUAGACAGACGCGUGAAAGUUUUUGUUCGGGUUUUGGUUUCUACUUUUGGAGUUCAACAUUCUAGUUUACUGCCAAUGGAAUUAAUGAGGUUGCAAUGCAUGAGAUGAUCAUACAGACAGCAGUCCUGAAAAGUCUACGUUUUCAUGGUACAAUGCAGCAUAGCAGUCCUAAAGUGGGAAGUACAUCUAGAAAGACAGGGAAUAUUUACUGUAUUAGUGGCUGUUGGGAAGUCGAUCUGCCUUUGGUUCUUUCUUGAUGGGCACACAAUAGCCUAUGCAACCUCCCCCACACUCAAAACACUAGACUUGUUUUGAAUCUGUGUCUAAGAUUGAUCGAUCGAUGCAUGGCAACUUCUGUGUGAUAUAGAAAUGUAUUAUAGUAUGGUACUCAUAUGUAUGAUUUUUUUCACGCCUGCUGAAGGCAUACAGUAUCCACAGUUAAUAAAGGACAUACAGAACUGUACAUUUAAAAUUUACACAGAGACACACACAAACUAGAUAUUAUAAAAUGUGUUUUUGUUUAUUGUAUAUGAGGAAAAUAGUAAUGCUAGAUCACAGUCUCAAUCUUCAAUUAAUUUCCCUACCCUAGAUGACUUGCUGGUGCUUGCUUACAACCAUCGAUCCCUGUUACUGACGCAAUUAACUUACUAUGCAUUAAUUGCAUUGUAGUUGCUGUAAAUUUACUAGCUUCUUGC